rnacentral:rRNA from 1 species
CCAAGGAGUCUAACAUGUGCGCGAGUCAUGGGGUCUUACGAAACCCAAAGGCGCAAUGAAAGUGAAGGCUUCGGCCCAGGUGGGAUCCCGGUCUUCUGGGCGGGGCGCACCACCGGCCCGUCUCGUCUGCGUUGCAGUGAGGCGGAGCAAGAGCGUACACGUUGGGACCCGAAAGAUGGUGAACUAUGCCUGAGUAGGACGAAGCCAGAGGAAACUCUGGUGGAAGUCCGUAGCGAUUCUGACGUGCAAAUCGAUCGUCGAACUUGGGUAUAGGGGCGAAAGACUAAUCGAACCAUCUA